GAGUUUGAUCAUGGCUCAGGACGAACGCCGGCGGUGUGCCUAAUACAUGCAAGUCGUACGCACUGGCCCAACUGAUUGAUGGUGCUUGCACCUGAUCGACGAUGGAUCACCAGUGAGUGGCGGACGGGUGAGUAACACGUAGGUAACCUGCCCUGUACAGGGGGAUAACAAUCAGAAAUGACUGCUAAUACCGCAUAAGACCACAGCACCGCAUGGUGCAGGGGUAAAAACUCCGGUGGUACAGGAUGGACCCGCGUCUGAUUAGCUGGUUGGUGAGGUAACGGCUCACCAAGGCGACGAUCAGUAGCCGGCUUGAGAGAGUGAACGGCCACAUUGGGACUGAGACACGGCCCAAACUCCUACGGGAGGCAGCAGUGGGGAAUAUUGCACAAUGGGGAAACCCUGAUGCAGCAACGCCGCGUGAGUGAAGAAGUAUUUCGGUAUGUAAAGCUCUAUCAGCAGGGAAGAAAGUGACGGUACCUGACUAAGAAGCCCCGGCUAACUAC
rnacentral:rRNA from 1 species